GACGUAGGGGGCGAGCGUUGUCCGGAAUUACUGGGCGUAAAGAGCACGUAGGCGGGAACCUAAGUCAGGUGUGAAAGACCGUGGCUCAACCACGGGGUGGCAUUUGAAACUGGGUUUCUUGAGGGCAGGAGAGGAAAGCAGAAUUCCUGGUGUAGCGGUGAAAUGCGUAGAGAUUAGGAAGAACACCAGUGGCGAAGGCGAUUCUCUGGACUGUAACUGACGCUGAGGCUCGAAAGCGUGGGGAGCAAACAGGAUUAGAUACCCUGGUAGUCCCUGA
rnacentral:rRNA from 1 species